rnacentral:rRNA from 1 species
GCCCUUAGAGUUUGAUCAUGGCUCAGAACGAACGCUGGCGGCAGGCUUAACACAUGCAAGUCGAGCGCCCCGCCCUCUUUUUACCUUCGGGUAGAAAGAGGAUCACGGGGAGUGGCGGACGGGUGAGUAACGCGUGAACAAUCUGCCUUAAGGAGCGGGAUAACCUGACGAAAGUUGGGCUAAUACGGCAUAGGUCACAAAGGGGCAUCCCUUAGUGAUGAAAGGUGGGCUCUUUGAGACCACUGCCUUAAGAGGGGUUCGCGUCGGAUUAGCUAGCUGGUGGGGUAAAGGCCUACCAGGGCGACAAUCCGUAGCUGGUCUGAGAGGACGAUCAGCCACACUGGGACUGAGACACGGCCCAGACUCCUACGGGAGGCAGCAGUGGGGAAUUUUCUGCAAUGGGGGAGACCCUGACAGAGCGACGCCGCGUUAGUGAAGAAGGCCUUCGGGUUGUAAAGCUAUGUCAAGGUGGAAGAAAGUACCUGUUAGGAAAUGAGCAGGUAUUGACGGUACACCUAGAGGAAGCACUG